rnacentral:rRNA from 1 species
GUUUAUGGCCGUACCACCCUGAACAUGCCCGAUCUCGUCUCAUCUGGGAAGUUAAGCAGGGUUGGGCCUGGUUAGUACUUGAAUGCGAGUGGCUGUUGCAA